rnacentral:rRNA from 1 species
UACGGAGGAUGCAAGCGUUAUCCGGAAUGAUUGGGCGUAAAGCGUCCGCAGGUGGCUGUGUAAGUCUGCUGUUAAAGAGUGAGGCUCAACCUCAUAAAAGCAGUGGAAACUACACAGCUAGAGUGCGUUCGGGGCAGAGGGAAUUCCUGGUGUAGCGGUGAAAUGCGUAGAGAUCAGGAAGAACACCGGUGGCGAAGGCGCUCUGCUGGACCAUAACUGACACUCAGGGACGAAAGCUAGGGGAGCGAAUGGG